AAAAAGAAGAAACACAGAUAAAAAUGAAAUAUUUUAAAACAAAGAUCCUUUUACAUACCACCCAGGGCAAAACAGACAAUGCCAGAAUCCCAGAAGCCCGUCACCACCUGCAUCUUCCCACAUGACUACUACCCUUUUAGGCUAGAUGUAAACAUCAUUCUGACAUUUAUAGUUUCAUCACUGAAGUUUACAUCCCUAAAUAAUAGAGUUUAGUUUUGUCUACUUUUUAACUUUAUAUAAAUGGAAUCAUCUUGUAUAUAAAGGGGUGGGCACAAGCAGGUUUACAGUUAUUCAUAUGGAAAAUAUAUAACACAAGAAUAAUGAUAAUGAUAGAAGAAUAAACUUGUGUUUCACAUACAACUGUAAACUACUUUUUCACACCUCUGUAUUUCAUUUUGGGUUUCAUCGUAGCAUAGUAUUCCGUCAUAAAUAUAACAGGUUUAUCUAUUCUGCAGUUGUUUUGUAUAUUCUGCAUUUGAUGUUUAAAUUGCUUACAUGCUUUGGCUGUUAAGAACAGUGCUUUUAUGAACAUUGUAUUUAACUACACUGGUACACAUUUAUGUAAUUUUUGAGGAUAUAUACUUUUAAUUGCAGGAUCAUGAAGAAUGUAUGUCUUUAUUAGGUAAUGUCAAGUUGUUUUCCAAAGUAGUUGUUUACUAGUUUUUGUUUCAGUUAUUAGUACGUGAGAAUUCUAAUUGUUCCGCAUCCCUCACCCACAAUAAAUGCUUAGUAUCAGAUAUUUUAAUUCUAGUCAAUCUGGUGGGCAGGUAGUUGCACCUGGUUUUACUAUCCCUUAUUACUAAUGAGGUGCACAUCUUCUCAUACCUUGGUCAUUUAGAUUUCAUCUGUCAUGAAAUGCCUUUGAAAUCUUUUGCCCCUUUUCCUGUUGAAAUGCGUGUCUUUUUCUAGAGUUCGAUCUUCUCACUGUGAAUCUUUUGCUGGAUCUAUCUGCUGCAAGUAAAUUUUCUCAUUUAAUGGUUUCUUUUGGUGAAUAGAGAAGUUCCUCAUUUUGAUGUAAAGGUGUUUAUCACUCUUUAUCUUUAUGGCUAGUGUUUCUUUUCUUGUCUUUUUUUUUUUUUUUUUUUUUUUUAAGGGAUGUUUUUUCUACCCCAAGAUCAUGGAGUUAUUUUGAUGGUAUUUUCAAAACUGUUUUGCUUUGUCUUUUCACAUUUAGGUCUAUAAUGCAUCUGAAAUUGAUUUUGUGUAUGGUGUGAGGUAUUUAACUCUUUAAAUUAGGAAGGGACUUACUUGGUUUAUAUGGUCCAGAUGAGAACUUAAAUCCUUUACUUGGAUAUUACUUAUAAUUUAAAUUCACCUGGAACUCUAAAAUACUCUUGAAAUUUUGGGCUAGUCACAUUUGUGGUGCAUAAUUAGGAUGACGAUAUGGCCUUGUUUGCCCUAGUAGAAAAGUCCUUGUUUGCACCUAUGAUCUGGCAUAAUUAUUAGAACGUCCCAUUUCUCUCUUGAAAGUAUUUUAGUUUGGGCAAUAAAUUGCAUGGUCAAAAACCCUAUCCCAAAUGUAUUGCUAAAUAGGUGAUGCCCUUUAUUUUCUGUUAGAGAUUUCACAGAUUAGCUCUUAAUUCUGUUAAAGUGAAAUUGAGUUAAGUUUGAUAGGUUUUGGUGCUUAGAAUUUUCUAAAUGAAUGUCAAGAAGUCUUACAAGAAAGACUUUGAUGUGAGUCUGAAUUAUACUUUGUCAACACAUCUCUGAGUUUCUUUUAUUCCUAGAUCAUGACCUAAACACAGUCUUGUUUGCUUAUUUGCAUGUGUGUAUUUUCUGUCUUUGCCUUCCCUCCCACAUAGAGUGAGCUCCUGGGAUAAACAAAUGUUUAUUUAAUGAAUGUGUAAAUGGAAAUUAUUUAGCAUUUUAGUUUAUUAAUCUUGUAGAAUUAUCUUGGGCGUAUCUCCAAAUAAUGCUUCUUUAUAUUCACAAUUGUAUUUCUCUUUAAAAUUAAAAUACCUAACAUGUUUCUCCCUUCCCCCCCAAAAAGUAAGCAGUUUUGGAGGACUGGGAUAUAAGAGGGUAAAAUCUUAUGACAAAAUUGAUAUUGUUGGGGACACAGUUUUAUUUUAUGGCUCAAGCUCAAUUGUAAUUUUCAAGAAUCAGUUCAGGAUAUUUAAGAGAAAGCUAAAGUUGUGACAUGCAUGAAUAGUUUGUAGAAUAUUUCCAAUUAUAUAUGUGGAUAUGAUGCCCAAGCACAUAGUAGAUCCUGGAUACCGAGAGAUCCCCCACAGAGUGGAAGCUCAGUGAAGUCAGGAUUUUUAUCUCCGUUGCUCUAUCUUUAGUGCCUAGAACAGUGCCUUGCAAGCACAUAGCAGGGUCUUGGUAAAUAUUUGAAUAAAUUAAGGAUAUUUGUAGUUAUUAAAGUUUUCUAACUAUGGGAAUUUCAAAGUUUGGGGAAUACACAUUUCUUAUAAGCAAUAUAUAGAUUUUAACACUUUCUGAAUUAAAUGAAUGGA